UGGGGAAUAUUGGACAAUGGGGGCAACCCUGAUCCAGCCAUGCCGCGUGUGUGAAGAAGGCCUUAGGGUUGUAAAGCACUUUAAGUUGGGAGGAAAGGAUUAUGGCUAAUAUCCAUGAUCUGUGACGUUACCAACAGAAUAAGCACCGGCUAACUCCGUGCCAGCAGCCGCGGUAAUACGGAGGGUGCAAGCGUUAAUCGGAAUUACUGGGCGUAAAGCGCGCGUAGGCGGCUAAGUAAGCUAGAUGUGAAAUCCCUGGGCUCAACCUGGGAACUGCAUAUAGAACUGCUGAGCUAGAGUGCAGAAGAGGAGUGUGGAAUUUCAGGUGUAGCGGUGAAAUGCGUAGAGAUCUGAAGGAACAUCAGUGGCGAAGGCGACACUCUGGUCUGACACUGACGCUGAGGUGCGAAAGCGUGGGUAGCAAACAG
rnacentral:rRNA from 1 species